UGCAACUCGACUCCAUGAAGCUGGAUUCGCUAGUAAUCGCGCAUCAGCCAUGGCGCGGUGAAUACGUUCCCGGGCCUUGUACACACCGCCCGUCAAGCCAUGGGAGUCGGGAGUGCCUGAAGUUCGUGACCGUCACAGGAGCGACCUAAGGCAAGACCGAUGACUGGGGCUAAGUCGUAACAAGGUACC
rnacentral:rRNA from 1 species